ensembl:lncRNA
GCCGCUUGCUGGCUCAAACCAGAUGGUCACACAUUCAUGUCUGCAUCGUUCUAUUUCUGCAUCCUACACAUGAACUCGCAAAGCUGUCAAAAAUAUGGUGAACCUUUUAUAUUAAUAUAUGAACAUACAUGUCCAUUGCAAAUAGCUUGAAAAGCUUUGGACUUGUCACUCAUGAAAAGAAUGACGUUUACUACCAUUGUGUCCCUGAGCAAGACACUUAACCCUAAGUUGCUCCAGGGGGACUGUCCCUGUAACUACUGAUUGUAAGUCGCUCUGGAUAAGGGCGUCUGAUAAAUGCUGUAAAUGUAAAUGUAAAUAUGACGUGUUGAUGAAGUGGACAUUUCAGAAUAAUUCCCAUCUGUAGGCAGAUUUUCUUUUUUAUUGUAAGAGCGCGGAUACAGGCUUAAACCAUAAACUCCAGUGAUUCUAAGUAUUAUUGUGUAAUGUUUAAUCAUGGCUUCCUGUUUCCAGGAAACUCAAGUCUGAAUGUUUUCUCCACAAAAAGCAGAACUACUCGGCUGCUGUUUUUUUGUUCUGUCAGGAAUAAGCGUUUUCCAACCAAGAUAAAAAGUCCACUUCAGAGUUCCUUCACCUGCUACCUUCUCCACAUACUUCAGUUGGAGGAAUGAUGGAGCUGAAGCUCAGUAAUUUUGGCCUGAAUAAGACGAGAGGCUGUAUAUGUUGGAUGCUCUGCGGUUAUAUCAUGUUGUUUUUUUUCAACCCGUCCCACAAGACUACUGCUUCUGUUUGACAGGAAGUGGCGAUGCAGAGACAUUGAAACUAUCGAAGGCUACACAUACAAGACUUUGUAAAAGCAGAAACCCAAUACGGACGUGUCAGGUCAGAUUUGGUCAAAAAAAAUGUGCCCUCGGUGGAUCAUACUAUCACUUUUUCAAAUAUUAACAGAUGCUGUGACGCUGCAGAGGGGAGGCUCUGCCAAUCUGUCUUGUAAUGCAUCUUUUGGUGCCGGUUGGAUAAUUUGGAGUAAAAAAGGAAGUACAGAAAUCAUCUGUAAAUAUUAUCUUGAAAAUAACAUUGACAAAAACAUUAAACCAUGUGGGCCACGUGUUGAAAUCGUUUCUUCUGCAAUUCAUAUAAGGAACCUUGAAUGCAAUGACUCGGGGGAAUAUAACUGCACAUUUACAAAAAUGGUUCCUCCACCAACUUUACAUUUUCAUCAGCAUAUUCAGCUCAACGUUGAAGGCCUUUCCCUGAGGCAAACUGGCCAUGAGAGCAGCUGCAUCCAGUUACAGUGUACAGUGUGCAGGAAAAGAGAUGGUGUGACCUUCUCAUGGAGCAGGGACGGACAGGCACUAACCGAGCAUCAGUGGACCAGCCACAACUCCUCUGACUGGCGGAGCACCCUGAGGAUCUGCCAUGAUCAGUGGAGCUUUGGAGACAAUUUCACUUGCUAUGCAACACACUCGACAAACGAGUCGGCACUGAACACAACCAUCACCAUCACAGAAAAUGAUUCCGGGACUGGCCAGAGGAUGUGGCAGAUCAUUGGAUUUUCCAUUUUUGUCGGGAUUGUGGUCAUCGUCAUCUUCAGCGUGGCCAUUUGCAUUUGGAGAAAGAGAAACAAUGAAUCAACAGUGUACGUCAACAAAGUUUAUGAAAACUUCACUUUCAGCACCCAGGUCAACACACCAAGGAUCACAGUUGAACAACGUGAAGAAUGUAUAUAUGAAAACUAGAUCUGCUGUCCGGUCUUAAAAGGUGAAUGGUGCAAUAAACAUGCAAGUUGUAUACACUGAUGCCCCGGGGAAAAGUUCUUUUUAAAAAAAAAAGAUCAUUGUACAUUAAACAGGCUUUUCUUGUUUUGUAUUGUAUUUGGAAGAAAUUCGUUUAUUACUACCAUUCUGUCCAGUUUCUAGCAGCUGUUUUGGCAAUUUCUGUCUGUUUAAAAUGAAAAUAAUUUAUUUCAUGCUAUUAAAUCAGUUUUUCCAUGACAUAAAAUGCAGUUUUAAUAUAAAUAUAAAUGUACUUAUUCGCCUUGCACUCUGCCUUUCAUCAGAAGUUCCCUUUUUUUUUUUUUUUUUUUAAAACAAGACCAGGUUUAAGCAAGAACAAAUAUAAUUCAAGAUGAUAGUAUAUUCAUAAAUUAUAAGAGAUUUAUAUAUAUAUAUAUAUGAUGGAUGAUGUGAAAUAGUGAGGGUUUUAAUAAAAUAUUUAUAAAAAUAAAGAUAUAUAUAUAUACAUAUUUAAUCAACAAAUUGUGUUUUCCAGUUGUCCAUUCUGUUCAAGGACCAAAGUUUGAACCUUUGGGGUUAAAUGUAAUAUACUGUUAUUUAUUAAAAAUAUUAAACCGUUCCACUUUGUGUGAUAUUUGUGAUAUAAAUGUGAAAACAUUUUUGAAACAUCACUGAACCUUUUCAGUGGGAAAGAAC